rnacentral:rRNA from 1 species
GACGAACGCUGGCGGCGUGCUUAACACAUGCAAGUCGAACGGAAAGGCCCCAGCUUGCUGGAGUACUCGAGUGGCGAACGGGUGAGUAACACGUGGGUAAUCUGCCCCGCACUCUGGGAUAAGCCUGGGAAACUGGGUCUCAUACUGGAUAUGACCUUUCUCCUUAUGGGGUUUGGUGGAAAGUUUUUCUGUGUAGGAUGAGCCCGCCGCAUCUCAGUUUGGUGGUUGGGUGAUGGCCUACCAAGGCGACGACGGGUAGCCGGCCUGAUAGGGUGGGCGGCCACGUUGGGCCGGGGAUACGGCCCAGACUCCUACGGGACGCAGCGGUGGGGAGUAUUGCACUAUGGGCGGAAGCCUGGUGCAGCCACGCCGCGUGGGGGAUGUCGUGCUGCGGUUUGUAAUCCUCUGUCAUCUGGGACGAAGCGUAAGUGACGGUACCUGCAGAAGAAGCACCGGCUAACUACGUG